rnacentral:rRNA from 1 species
GGGGAAAAAUUAAUAAAUUAAAUAUAAUAAAAAAAUUUUUAAAUAAAUAAUAUUUUAAGGGGGUUAAAGUAUUUUUAUUGAAAAAAUUAAAUAAUUUAUAGUAAAUUAGUAUUGUGAAAGAAUUUUGAAAUAGAUGAAAUAUAAAAUUGAGUGUAAGUAAUUUUAAUUUAAUGUAUCUUGUGUAUCAGAGUUUAUUAAAAAAUAUUUUUAAGAAAAAAAUUCUCGAAUUUAAAAGAGAUAAUUAAUUAAUAAAGUUAUUGUAGCAUAAAUAUUUAAAAUAAUUAAUUUGAAAUGAGAUGUUAAUCGUUUUUAAAUAUAUCUAGUUUUUUUAGAAAAAAAUUUAAUUUUUUAUUAUUUUUAUAAAUAAAUUAAUUAAUUAAUUUAUUUAAUAUGAUAAUUUUAUAUUUUAAGGGAUAAGCUUUAAUUUAAAUUUAUAUAAAUAUUUAAUUAAAUAAUUAAGAUUUUUAUAAUUUAUAUUGUUAAAAAAUUUUAAUUUAUUAUAAAUAAUUUUAUUUAAAAUAAGAUUUAAAAAGAUUUUAUAUUUUUAUAAAAAAAAAAUUUUUAAUUUUAUAAAAUUUGAUAUAAUGAUAAAAUUAGUAUAUAAUUUUGUAAAAUAAUUAUUUUUAUUUAAGGUAAUUAAAAGGAAUUCGGCAAAAAUUUAUAUUCACUUGUUUAUCAAAAACAUGUCUUUUUGAAAUUAAUAUAAAGUCUAAUCUGCCCACUGAUAAAAAUUAAAGGGCUGCAGUAAUUUGACUGUACAAAGGUAGCAUAAUCAUUAGUCAUUUAAUUGAUGACUUGUAUGAAAGAUUGGAUGAGAUAUAAGCUGUCUCUUAAUUAAAUUUAGAAUUUAAUUUUUUAAUUAAAAAGUUAAAAUAUAAUAAAAAGACGAGAAGACCCUAUAGAGUUUUAUAAUUUAUUUAAUUAAGAUUAUUUAAAUAAAAAAAAAUUAAAAUUAAUUUAAUUAUUUUGUUGGGGUGACAGAAAAAUGAAUAUAACUUUUUUUAAAAAAAAACAUAUAUAAGUGAUUUUUUGAUCCAGUAAUAUUGAUUAUAAGAAAAAAUUACCUUAGGGAUAACAGCGUAAUUUUUUUUUUUAGUUCAUAUAAAAAAAAGAGUUUGCGACCUCGAUGUUGGAUUAAGAUAAAAUUUAAAUGCAGAAGUUUAAAAUUUUUGAUCUGUUCGAUCAUUAAAAUCUUACAUGAUCUGAGUUCAAACCGGUGUAAGCCAGGUUGGUUUCUAUCUUUUAUAAAAUAAAAUAUUUUAGUACGAAAGGAUUAAAUAUUUAAAUUAAAUUUAUAUUAAAGAAUUUUAUUAAUUUUAUUUUAAAAUGUUAAAAUAAUAUAUAUAUAUAUAUAUAUAU